UGAGGAAUCUUCCACAAUGGGCGAAAGCCUGAUGGAGCAAUGCCGCGUGCAGGAAGACGCUUUUCGGAGUGUAAACUGCUUUUCUGAAGGAAGAUUAUGACGGUACUUCAGGAAUAAGGAUCGGCUAACUACGUGCCAGCAGCCGCGGUAAUACGUAGGAUCCAAGCGUUAUCCGGAAUUACUGGGCGUAAAGCGUGCGCAGACGGUUUGGUAGGUCUUAUGCGAAAUCCGGUGGCUCAACCACCUGGACUGUAUAAGAAACCGCCUAACUUGAGGUCGGUAGAGGCAAGUGGAAUUUCUGGUGUAGGAGUGACAUCCGUAGAUAUCAGAAGGAACACCAAUGGCGAAGGCAGCUUGCUGGGCCGUACCUGACGUUCAGGCACGAAAGCGUGGGGAGCAAACA
rnacentral:rRNA from 1 species